rnacentral:rRNA from 1 species
UACGGAGGGUGCAAGCGUUAUCCGGAUUUACUGGGCUUAAAGGGUGCGUAGGCGGGUAGGUAAGUCAGUGGUGAAAUCUUCGAGCUUAACUCGGAAACUGCCAUUGAUACUAUUUAUCUUGAAUACUCUGGAGGUAAGCGGAAUAUGUCAUGUAGCGGUGAAAUGCUUAGAUAUGACAUAGAACACCAAUUGCGAAGGCAGCUUACUACAUAGUUAUUGACACUGAGGCACGAAAGCGUGGGGAGCAAACAGG